GCAUAUCAAUAAGCGGAGGAAAAGAAACCAACAGGGAUUGCCCCAGUAACGGCGAAGUGAAGCGGCAACAGCUCAAAUUUGAAAUCUGGCCUCGGCCCGAGUUUGUAAUUUGCAGAGGAUGCUUCUGGCGAGGCACCGACCGAGUCCCCUGGAACGGGGCGCCAUAGAGGGUGAGAGCCCCGUAUGGUCGGACGCUUAGCCUGUGUGAAGCUCCUUCGACGAGUCGAGUAGUUUGGGAAUGCUGCUCAAAAUGGGAGGUAAAUUUCUUCUAAAGCUAAAUACCGGCCAGAGACCGAUAGCGCACAAGUAGAGUGAUCGAAAGAUGAAAAGCACUUUGAAAAGAGGGUUAAAUAGCACGUGAAAUUGUUGAAAGGGAAGCGCUUGUGACCAGACUUGCGCCUGGCCGAUCAUCCGGGGUUCUCCCCGGUGCACUCGGCCAGGCUCAGGCCAGCAUCGGUUCUCUCGGGGGGACAAAGGCUCCGGGAACGUAGCUCCCUCCGGGGAGUGUUAUAGCCCGGGGCGUAAUGCCCUCGAGGGGACCGAGGACCGCGCUUCGGCAAGGAUGCUGGCGUUACGGUCAUCAGCGACCCGUCUUGAAACACGGACCAAGGAGUCAAGGUUUUGCGCGAGUGUUUGGGUGUAAAACCCGCACGCGUAAUGAAAGUAAACGUAGGUGAGAGCUUCGGCGCAUCAUCGACCGGCCCAGAUGUUCUCGGAAGGGCCUGAGUAGGAGCGUUAAGCCUUGGACCCGAAAGAUGGUGAACUAUGCUUGGAUAGGGUGAAGCCAGAGGAAACUCUGGUGGAGGCUCGCAGCGGUUUCUGACGUGCAAAUCGAUCGUCAAAUCUGAGCAUGGGGGGCGAAAGACUAAUCGAACCAUCUAGUAGCUGGUUACCGCCGAA
rnacentral:rRNA from 1 species